CGUUUAAAAAUAAGAACAUAUAAGUAUGAAGAGGAAAAAGCAGCAAGAGAAGCACAAAUAGAACCCCAAGAACUGUUUGGAGAUACUCAGACUACUUCAAUAAGUCAAAUGGAAGUCAAAAAUACAAAUUUGGAAACUGAAAAUUGCAGACUGAAAACUGAAUUAGAGUCACAGAGAAUAAAAUUGGGAAAAUACAUGCAACUCUAUCUAGAAGAAUCAAACUCUAGAAAAUCAUUGCAAAUUACCGUAAACACUCUUCACGGGGCCAUCAAGAAGCUAACAGAAGUCAAUACUGAACCUCUUGUGAAGGAAACACAUCACGAAUAUGUAUUCAACGCGCCUCCUCCAAGGCCAGACCUACUGCUAUCUUCUGCUACACGUUCUAUUAAUAGUCUUAAUAAUCGUUUCAUGCUUGAUAGUUAUCUUACAACAAGAGGAAAUUCAACAACUUUUCCUACCUUCAACCCAAGGCCUUAAAAUGAAAGCACAGACACAUAACUAUGACAAGGUUUCCUCUCCCAGCCUGUGCUGACUCAGCAGCCCUCCCUCUCUGCGUCUCCUGGAGCAACAGCCAGACUCACCUGCACCCUGAGCAAUGACGUCAGUGUCCAGAGCAAAAAGAUAUUCUGGUUCCAGCAGAAGCCAGGGAGCCCUCCCUGCUAUCUCCUGAACUACCACACAGACUCAGAUAAGGGCCAGGGCCCCGGGGUCCCCAGCCGCUUCUCUGGAGCCAAGGACACCUCGGCCAACGCGGGGCUCCUGCUCGUCUCGGGGCCGCAGCCUGAGGACGAGGCCGACUACUGCUGCGUGGUCUCCCAUGGCGGUGAUUCUCACAGUGACACACACAGAAGGGGACAUGGGACAGGAACCUCAGCCUGCUCACAGUCUUGUUAUGUGGCCAUUUUUAAAUAAUUGUGCAUACGCACACUAUACGUUGAAAUACCUCUGAGUUCAUAAUGGAUCUGCUACAAUUAAACAUUCAGUGUUUCUAAAACCUCAGGAAAAAUAGCUAACAUUAAGAAUAAACUAACGAAUGACUCUGGAAGGCUGCCAAGUUAUUAAUGUGAUUAAUCGUGAAGCUGCCCUUUUUCUCUUACCCAGAUAAGGAAGAGGAGACUUCCCCACUCUCAUUCUCAGUGUCCAGAGACCCACCCCCCGCAGGUGCACAGCCCUCACAGCGGGGACUCUGCUCCCCAGAGACACUUCCCUCCCAGGAAGUGGGGGAAGGAAGGGCCCACGAGAUUGUGUCCUAAGAAACAGGCACGAAGAGGUGAGAUGCCGUGUGAGGAUCAGGCCCAGCAGGAAUU